AUGUGAGUUUUCUUUGUUUUAAUUAAACUUCUCCGGAUUGAUGUACUCCUCAUCUUUCUCUGUUCCUUGCACUCCAUUCACUAGUGCACCUGUGACAGAAUACUGGAACACAAAAAAUGACUGCAGCUGAGGAUGCGCUGUGGGGUCCACAGCAGGUGUUCCCUGUUUUUCAUUGUUUCCCAGGUGUCUCGUCAUGUGCAAAUGUUAAUCCCUGUCUUCAGUUCAGCAUCCAUUAUUGCUCCUGUUUACAUGUGCUAACUAUAAACCAAAGAAGAUGAGCAUAUUCUCAACAAAGCUCACGC